UAAUAUUUAAUAAAUGCAAAGAGAAUUCAUACUUUAAAAAUAUAAAUUGUUAAAAUCAUUUUUUAAAUACGAAAGAAAAAAUAUGGUAAAAAUUGUCAAAUUUGUUUACAUUAUAAUUAUCUUCAUUUCUUUAUUACCGGUGCCAUCCAACUGUGGAAGAAGAAUUGCUAAAUGUGUAAAGGAUGAUAAUUGUUACAAUAUGCAUUAUUUGUGCCUGCCACCAAAAGUAAUGAAGUGUGUCAAGAGACUUUGCACGUGUGCUAGUGUGACCGCUCUCAUCUAUUAUGUUCCCGAAUAGUUCUGUAUUAGUUUCUUAUCUAAGCCUAUAAUUUUAUAAUCAUGCUAUAUAAUCAAUACACUUAUCAUCUAUCCCACCAUCAAUUCAUAUUUCUCUUAGAUUUUAAUUUUAUAUUAAUCUCAUAAAUGUCAUUCAAUUUAAAAAAAUAUAUAUAAAAAAUAAAAUUUUCAA